CAAUAGCGUAUAUUAAAGUUGUUGCAGUUAAAAAGCUCGUAGUUGGAUUUCGGGACGGGCCAGUUGGUCCGCCGCAAGGUGUGUUACUGACUGGUCUGUUCUUCUUCGCAAAGACUGCGUGUGCUCUUCGUUGAGUGUGCGUAGGAUUUACGACGUUUACUUUGAAAAAAUUAGAGUGUUCAAAGCAGGCUAUCGCUUGAAUACAUGAGCAUGGAAUAAUGGAAUAGGACUUUGGUCCUAUUUUGUUGGUUUCUAGGACCGAAGUAAUGAUUAAGAGGGACAAUUGGGGGCAUCCGUAUUUCGUUGUCAGAGGUGAAAUUCUUGGACUUACGAAAGACGAACAACUGCGAAAGCACUUGCCAAGAGUGUUUUCAUUAA
rnacentral:rRNA from 1 species